GGCUGCUGGAACUACUUCUGCCCUAUCAGCCCCCAGCUAUAUCUCUACUCAGUUAAUUGGCACCCUUGGCCAACUGCCUGUCUUCCAGUCAGUUCCUAGUUAACGUACACCUGGGGAUUUGAGUGACAGGCAGCCGGGUCAGCUCCUAGCUCAGCACUCCCCGUUACAGUGUCUAAAGACAGAGGUGCUGCUGGGACCACUGUCUGAGCUUGGAGACACACAAUGUUUUCCAGGAGGGUCCAAAGCUGCUUUUUCAUUCUUCUCAUUCUUGGGAUAAAUUUGGCCCAGUGCAUGUUGUUGUGGUUUAAAGAAGUUACCUUUGAAAGGCACCUAAUCCUCAAAGCUGUCUUCAGUGAUGAAGACCAAGACCCCCCCUGUCCUCCUGAUCUUGUGUUUCUGGAGCAGUGAAUUCUGCCCUUAGCUACACCAGUGUCACAGAGAGCAGAACUUAUCAACACCCAAGCAGCCAGUGUCGCGGAUGUUCAACCAUUUGC